AAAGCAAGUUGACCUUUCCUGAGGAAAGAAGC
rnacentral:piRNA from 1 species